CACGUAGGGCGCAAGCGUUGUCCGGAAUUUAUUGGGCGUAAAGAGCUCGUAGGCGGUCUGUUGCGUCCGCUGUGAAAACUCGGGGCUUAACCCCGAGCCUGCAGUGGAUACGGGCAGACUAGAGGUAGGUAGGGGAGAAUGGAAUUCCCGGUGUAGCGGUGAAAUGCGCAGAUAUCGGGAGGAACACCGGUGGCGAAGGCG
rnacentral:rRNA from 1 species